rnacentral:rRNA from 1 species
CAGUAGCCGCGGGAAUACGAAGGGGGCUAGCGUUGCUCGGAAUGACUGGGCGUAAAGGGCGCGUAGGCGGUUUUGACAGUCAGAUGUGAAAUUCCUGGGCUUAACCUGGGGGCUGCAUUUGAGACGUCAAGACUAGAGUGUGAGAGAGGGUUGUGGAAUUCCCAGUGUAGAGGUGAAAUUCGUAGAUAUUGGGAAGAACACCGGUGGCGAAGGCGGCAACUUGGCUCAUUACUGACGCUGAGGCGCGAAAGCGUGAGGAGCAAACAGGAUUAGAUACCCCCGUAGUCCCUGUCUCUUAUAC